CUCCUCCUCGAUUAUUCAUGGCAACCAGAGUAGUUACCACUGGACGAAAGGUGAAUUUUCAAUUUUUGGAGGUUGAACACUUUCACAUUAGGUCAUGAGUCUGCCAGCAGGGUUGGGAGAAGAUGUGUACUUUGGAGGUACCCAUUUAUCCCAAUCUUGUGCAUGAACUUUUUAAGAACUUGAGGCUCGAUGGAGAGUCUAGUAUUGAGUCCAUGGUGAAGGGUGUUCAGAUCUCCUUAUCUGAGAAAAAGU
rnacentral:lncRNA from 1 species